CGGCGGUUCUUUAACCAUGCAAGUCGACGAUGAAGUCUCUUCGGAGGCGGAUUAGUGGCGAACGGGUGAGUAACACGAGGGCAAUCUGCCCUCGGUUCUGGGACAAGCCCUGGAAACGGGGUCUAAUACCGAAUACGACCACUCCCGGCAUCGGGUGGUGGUGGAAAGUUCCGGCGGUGAUGGAUGAGCUCGCGGCCUAUCAGCUUGUUGGUGGGGUAACGGCCCACCAAGGCAACGACGGGUAGCCGGCCUGAGAGGGUGACCGGCCACACUGGGACUGAGACACGGCCCAGACUCCUACGGGAGGCAGCAGUGGGGAAUAUUGGACAAUGGGCGAAAGCCUGAUCCAGCAACGCCGCGUGAGGGAUGACGGCCUUCGGGUUGUAAACCUCUUUCAGCAGGGACGAAGCGCAAGUGACGGUACCUGCAGAAGAAGCACCGGCCAACUACGUGCCAGCAGCCGCGGUAAUA
rnacentral:rRNA from 1 species